CCUACGGGAGGCAUCAGUGGGGAAUAUUGGACAAUGGGGGCAACCCUGAUCCAGCCAUGCCGCGUGUGUGAAGAAGGCCCUCGGGUUGUAAAGCAAUUUCAGUGAGGAAGAACGCCUGGUGGUUAAUACCCAUCAGGAAAGACAUCACUCACAGAAGAAGCACCGGCUAACUCCGUGCCAGCAGCCGCGGUAAUACGGAGGGUGCGAGCGUUAAUCGGAAUUACUGGGCGUAAAGCGCGCGUAGGUGGCUUGAUAAGCCGGUUGUGAAAGCCCCGGGCUCAACCUGGGAACGGCAUCCGGAACUGUCAAGCUAGAGUGCAGGAGAGGAAGGUAGAAUUCCCGGUGUAGCGGUGAAAUGCGUAGAGAUCGGGAGGAAUACCAGUGGCGAAGGCGGCCUUCUGGACUGACACUGACACUGAGGUGCGAAAGCGUGGGUAGCAAACAGGAUUAGAUACCCGGGUAGUC
rnacentral:rRNA from 1 species